rnacentral:tRNA from 1 species
GGGCGAGUGGCGGAAUUGGUAUACGCGGCGGACUUAAAAUCCGCUGGCUGAAUAAGCCUUGAGGGUUCGAGUCCCUCCCCGCCCACCA